rnacentral:lncRNA from 1 species
GAAAUCUAAUCACAUUUUCUGCCUCAAGGGACUGAGCAGCUCCCAAUAAGAUUUUCCUGAGUGUGUCUCUGCAGCAGUUGGUGGGAGUGACACGACUGGUGAGACUGAGACAGCCUGGGGCUCAGAGCAGAUGGUAGUCUGAAAGGGACAGAAUGAGAGAGGGAGCUGGAGAAAGAAAUGAAUAAACACGAAUGCAUCUGGAGAAUGAGGCAUCUUGGAAUCUGGAAAGUGAGGCAUCCUGGAAGAGAGAUGAAGCAGAUGCUACCUGAUUUGUGCUCCAGCUAAUGUCACUCACGUCAGGAGUGUUGCCAAAUGCAAUGAGGUGCGACUGACACCAGGGAAGAUGAUGAGCAAAGAGAAUGGCAGCUGGCUGUGUUUCCUUCUUAUAGCAUUUUAAUGAAUCAAGGAGCAUCCUGAUAGAGUACAUCUGGACAUGCUAGAAGCCAGACUCUAAGAUCCGAGAACCCUAAGGCGGCUCCAUCUUCAUGACAGGGAGGAUGGGUCCUGAAUAGAGGGAUGAGGCCUGAGAAAUAUAAAAGGCAGUUGCAGUGCUAUAGAAAGAACUAUACAUUAGUGGUUAGAAAACCUGAGUUCUCUCUCACUCUGUGUUACUCAUUAGUUUUUUGACUUAGGCAAAAUGUUUGUCUUACUCGAGACUCUUUUAACAAUAAAAACACACUAGAGUUACCAACAGGGUCCCAAAGGCAGUGGAUAGGGGAUCUAGAAAGCUACUACAAGGGGCCCAUUCCUCUUUCAUUAUUGCUUCCCUUUCUUCUCUCUCUCUGACAAUCAGCUUUUUUUCCUUUACCUCCCAGUCUGCCUGGUGGAAGACAAGAUAAUCCAAGUUUUCAUGGUAUAGGUCCAGCCACAAGGAAAGACUGAUUCCUGAUUCUCAUUUCCAUGUUUAAUUCCUAGCUGAAGGUAUGAUAGGCCUAGCUAAUUCCCCCUCACCAAAAAGUAUGAACAGAGUGUGUAUGAAUUUUAGACAUCAUGCCUGAGGCCCACUCCUUUGGCCCAAUAGAUGGUGGAUCAGUUCUCAUUUCAAGGGGACUGUUUGUCAGCUGAGAUGUUUCCAAAGGUAUUCAUUUGCUUGUGUAACUUUAUUUCCUCAAAAGUAAAAUCUGACCUCCCUUCCCUUGUGUGGUUAUAAGUCUUAAAGGAGACCAUGUACAAGAAAAAAAAUUGUGAAAUUCAAAGGGCUUUAUAUAUAUCAGGCACUAGCUGUAAACUGAAGUCACCCUGUGAAUCAGAUGUAGAGUUACCAUAUUUAGGCUCACACCCUCUAAAUCCCCAAGGUGUAGUCCUCUUUCCAUGGACAGUUGGAAGGUCAAUGUCAUUGAAAGAAAAAAGGUAAAGCUUACCUAAUGUGAAUAUUGUGGGCUUAGAGUUCACCAGCAGGCAAGAACUCUCUCCAGGGUUGUAAUUAAUUACCUUAUUUGCAUUAUGUAAAUGCUACCUUUUAAAAUUUCAUAAUUGUUAUUAAACUCAGUUAUUUCUCUAAGCUCUGAGCUACUUAAUUACUAGAACUGUAAACAGAACAUAAGGGCUGCAGAAUGCAUGAAUAUUUAGUGAUACCAACAGAUUUUGUUCAUGACCUGCCACGAUUAUUAAUAUUACUUUUAAUUUUAACAGAGCAGGUUGUCAACAUGGGUACUAAACAUGAAGCAAAGGCAACUCCUUUAUCCAGAACUUAAUUCACUACGAAUGCCACUCCAAAAGGAAAGGAUGUCCAAUCUGACAAGGGAUUAAUCACCAUAAUAUAUAAGGAGCCCAGACAAUUAUAGUGGAAAAAAUCUAAUAAUCUGAUUUUAAAAUGGGAAAAAGAUCUGAAUAGACAUUUCUCAAAAGAAGACAUACAAAUGGCCAACAGGUAUACAAAAAGGUGCCCAACAUCGUUGAUAUCAUCAGAGAAAUGUGAAUCAAAAGUACAAUGAGACAUCGCCUCAUCCCAGUUAAAAUGGCUUUUAUCCAAAAGACAGGCAAUAACAAAUGCUGGUGAGGUUGUGGAAAAGAGGGGACCCUAGUACACUGUUAGUGGGAUUGUAAAUUAGUACAACCACUAUGAAGAACAGUUUGGAGGUUCCUCAAAAAACUAAAAAUCCAGGUACCUUACAGUCCAGUAACCCCCUGCUGGGUAUAUACCCAAAAGAAAGGAAAUUACUAUAUUGAAGAGAUAUCUGCAUUCCCAUGCUUAUUGCAGCACUGUGCAUAAAUAGCCAAGAUUUGGAAGCAAUCUAAGCAUUCAUCAACAGACAAGGGGAUAAAGAAAAUGUGGUACAUAUACACAACGGAGGGCUAUUCAGCCAUAAGAAAGAAUGAGAUCCUGUCAUUUGUAACAACAUGGGUGGAUGUGUUAAUUGAAAUAAGCCAGACAGAGAAAGACAAACUUCACAUGUUCUCAUUUGUUUGUGGGAACUAAAAAUUAAAACAGUUGAACUUAUGAAGAUAGAGAAUAGAAUGAUGGUUAUCAGAGGCUAGGAAUGGUAGUGGGAGUGGGGGAGGGGAAGUGGGGAUGGUUAACGGGUACAAAAAAUAGAAUGAAUAAGAUCUAGUACUAAUAGCACAACAGGGUGAUUAUAGUCAAUAAUAAGUGUACAUUUUAAAAUAAAGGGCAUAAUUGGAAUGUUUAUAACACAAAGGAUUAAUGCUUGAGGGGAUGGAUACCCCAAUUACCCCGAUGUGAUUAUUAAACAGUGUAUGCCUGUAUCAAAAUAUCUCAUAUAACCCAUAUAUACACCUAUUAUGUAUCCCCCAAAAAUAAAAACUAAAAAAAGGAUAUACAUCUCAUUCAUGACCUGUAAUAAUAGUCAAGCAAAAGACAGA